rnacentral:ncRNA from 1 species
CUAAAAGCGAUGAAGGUACAAGUACAUGACGUCCUUUUAUUAAGAGAGGAGAUUCCUUGGCUGGAAGAAUCUCCAUAAAAGUGUGAUGGAAAGCUAUACUGGAGCUCUGAGUUAAUCCUUAUCGGCUGCGCACCGUUAUCCGCGCCUAAAGGUGAUAGACCAUUUUCCGGUCUAUAAUCAGGGUGGUACCGCGAUCAUACUCUCGUCCCUGCA